GGUGAACAGCGGAGGGAUCAUUAC
rnacentral:rRNA from 5 species